rnacentral:lncRNA from 1 species
CCCGACUUUAUUUCGGGUAAUAUAUACCUUGCACAACACUAUCAAUGUUUUCUUUUCAAAAACGGUAAUUAUUCUACGAAUUCUCCUGGUUCAACAAAUGAAACACCUUGAUUAUAGAAAUAUGAACAUAAUGAACUACCAUAAACCAUAAGUAAAACUGAAUGUACUCAGAAAUUGACUCCCUGACAUCUCAGAAAUGAUCCACCAAAUUUCUUCAUAAUGUAACAGCUGGCAGCCAUUGAGAAAAGACUGUAUGCAUAAUAAAUUUCUCCUAAACACUUGCC